GAAAGAUUGCAGAAAACUACUGGACAAACCAUUCUAGCUUACAAUCUUCAUGAAAGACUGGAAAACAAUUUUAACACCUGUAGUAAUAACCUCUGAGAACUGAGAACAGUACAAUGGCAGCAGAGAUAAAACACUGGGGUAAUCUUCAAGCCACUGUUUGGGGCUGGAUGGGCAAGAGAGAGGAUCCCUUCAUGGUCUCCUGCUGACAGUGUAGAUGAGAGGAGCAGUGACACUGCUUUCCUCAACCUUCCACAGUGUCUCCACUUGCUCUUUGUA
rnacentral:lncRNA from 1 species